CCUACGGGUGGCAGCAGUGGGGGAUAUUGCACAAUGGGGGAAACCCUGAUGCAGCGACGCCGCGUGGGUGAAGAAGCGCCUCGGCGCGUAAAGCCCUGUCAGCAGGGAAGAAAAUGACGGUACCUGAAGAAGAAGCCCCGGCUAACUACGUGCCAGCAGACGCGGUAAUACGUAGGGGGCAAGCGUUCUCCUGAUUUACUGGGUGUAAAGGGGCCGAAGACGGCGCUGCAAGCCAGGAGUGAAAGCCCGGGGCACAACCCCGGGACUGCUCUUGGAACUGCGUGGCUAGAGUGCAGGAGGGGCAGGCGGAAUUCCUGGUGUAGCGGUGAAAUGCGUAGAUAUCAGGAGGAACACCGGUGGCGAAGGCGGCCUGCUGGACUGCAACUGACGUUGAGGCCCGAAAGCGUGGGGAGCAAACAGGAUUAGAUACCCCUGUAGUC
rnacentral:rRNA from 1 species